rnacentral:rRNA from 1 species
GAUGAACGCUGACAGAAUGCUUAACACAUGCAAGUCUUUGGCGAAGCUGUGCUUGCACCGCCUAGCCAAGGCGGACGGGUGAGUAACGCGUAAGGAACUUGCCCUGCAGUCAGGGAUAACAGACGGAAACGACUGAUAAGACCUGGUAAAGUCAGGCGGACUCAUGUCCAGCCCGACGAAAAGGGAUGCUGCAGGAGAGCCUUGCGUCCUAUUAGCUUGUUGGUGGGGUAACGGCCCACCAAGGCGAGGUGAGGUAGCCGGCCUGAGAGGGUAGACGGCCACGAGGGCUCUGAGAGGCAGCCGUUAGGCCUACGGGAGGCAGCGGUGAAGAAUGUUGGAGAAAGGGGGCAUCAGUGAUCCAGGAAUUCUGUGUGCAAAAUGAAGUUUUUCGGGAUGAAAAGUGCUUUCAGCAGAGAAGAAAAAAAUGACGGUACCUGCAGAAGAAGCGACGGCUAAAUACGUG